UACGAAGGGGGCUAGCGUUGCUCGGAAUCACUGGGCGUAAAGCGCACGUAGGCGGACUCUUAAGUCGGUGGUGAAAUCCUGGAGCUCAACUCCAGAACUGCCUUCGAUACUGGGAGUCACGAGUUCGGGAGAGGUGAGUGGAACUGCGAGUGUAGAGGUGAAAUUCGUAGAUAUUCGCAAGAACACCAGUGGCGAAGGCGGCUCACUGGCCCGAUACUGACGCUGAGGUGCGAAAGCGUGGGGAGCAAACAGG
rnacentral:rRNA from 1 species